rnacentral:rRNA from 1 species
GUUGUAAGGUUAAGAAAUUAAGCGUACACGGUGGAUGCCUAGGCAAUCAGAGGCGAAGAAG